rnacentral:rRNA from 1 species
AACGGCCAUACCAUGCUGAAUAUACCGGUUUUCGUUAGAUUCACCGAAGUCAACAUCAUUGGGCGCGGUCAGUACUUGGGUGGGUGACCACCUGGGAACACCGCGUGCCGUU